GUCCACGCCGUAAACGAUGAUCACUCGUGAUUGGCGAUACACGGUCAGUCACCUAGCGAAAGCGUUAAGUGAUCCACCUGGGGAGUACGAUCGCAAGAUUGAAACUCAAAGGAAUUGACGGGGGGCCCGCACAAGCGGUGGAGCAUGUGGUUCAAUUCGAUGAUACGCGAGGAACCUUACCAGGGCUCGAACGCACGUAGACAGGGGCGGAAACGUCCUCUUCUUCGGACUGCGUGCGAGGUGCUGCAUGGCUGUCGU
rnacentral:rRNA from 1 species